CUGGCUCAGGAUGAACGCUAGCUACAGGCUUAACACAUGCAAGUCGAGGGGUAGCAGGGUAGCAAUACCGCUGACGACCGGCGCACGGGUGAGUAACACGUAUCCAACCUUCCCAUAACUCAGGGAUAGCCUUUCGAAAGAAAGAUUAAUACCUGAUAGUACUUUUUCAAGGCAUCUUGAGAAAGUUAAAGAUUUAUUGGUUAUGGAUGGGGAUGCGUUCCAUUAGAUAGUUGGUGAGGUAACGGCUCACCAAGUCUUCGAUGGAUAGGGGUUCUGAGAGGAAGGUCCCCCACAUUGGUACUGAGACACGGACCAAACUCCUACGGGAGGCAGCAGUGAGGAAUAUUGGUCAAUGGGCGAGAGCCUGAACCAGCCAAGUAGCGUGAAGGAUGAAGGUCCUAUGGAUUGUAAACUUCUUUUAUAGUAGAAUAAAGUGAUCCACGUGUGGAUUUUUGUAUGUAUACUAUGAAUAAGGAUCGGCUAACUCCGUGCCAGCCGCUGC
rnacentral:rRNA from 1 species